UGUCUGGUUUGGACACAGAAGUAUGGCACCC
rnacentral:piRNA from 1 species